CUGCCUGGCCUUCCUGGGACCUUUCCCAAGAGGGCUUCAUUGAGAUGUUAAUUCCACAGGUGUUUUCUGAGCACCUGCUAUAGGCCAGAUGCCGGAGAGAGCCACCCUGACUCCAGGACUUUACCACACACCAGGGGACAGGCAUGAACUGUGAUAUCCAAAUGUCAGGACCACGGACCACUUGGUUCCUCUGCCCCCGGUGACUGAGCGCGCAGUUUCAGGAAGCCUCUCCGCUGUAUCUCACAGCGUCUUCCUCUGCCAGGCUCAGCCUGCCCAUCAUGGCGCCUCCUAAACUGGCCUCUUUCCACAUUUAAGCGUUGUUAUUCGGCAAACAUGAAAUUUAAUGGAUGUUUUACAGUA